rnacentral:rRNA from 1 species
CGUAGGUCCCGAGCGUUAUCCGGAUUUAUUGGGCGUAAAGCGAGCGCAGGCGGUUAGAUAAGUCUGAAGUUAAAGGCUGUGGCUUAACCAUAGUACGCUUUGGAAACUGUUUAACUUGAGUGCAGAAGGGAGGGUGGAUUCCAUGUGUAGCGGUGAAAUAGCGUAGAUAUAUGGAGGAACACCGGUGGCGAAAGACGGCUCUCUGGUCUGUAACUGACGCUGAGGCUCGAAAGCGUGGGGAGCAAACAGGAUU